UGGAAGACACGUUGCAAGGGCAAGCGGAAAUUCGUUGCGAGAACUGCUCGCGCCCGUUUGACUCUGCAGCUAUACGACGUUCAUCCAACAGUACUACAUUCUAAAGAAACGUAGGCAACCAGACCAAGCAGACGGAAAUCGUCUUAUCCGGCAAGAAACUGCGUUCUGUGCACGGUGGAAUGAAAGAAAUCGGUCUUUGCGCUAUCAGAGUCCCGGAUGAAAAUCGGUGACAGAUUUCCUAAUCCUGAGGCAAGUGGUCUAGAGAACUAAGGAAGUUGACGCUUAACAGUUAGCUGGCUAGUGGACGUAGAUGACAUGGAGUGGUAGUUUACGAUGAUAAGGGCUGCUUACUGGUCAACAGAAAGGAUAAGCUAUAUUAGCUGUGAUUGUUUUACAUUGUUUGGGAUGUCACUGUCAUUGUAUUAACUCUAUGGAUCAAGGAAAUGUGACAUUGAGUGUCGAUGUGCACAUAGCUGGAUAUGUAGACGUUGAGGUAAAGAUGAAACCCGAUGACUGAUAUGACUGAA